GAUGAACGCUGGCGGCGUGCCUAAUACAUGCAAGUCGAGCGAACAGACGAGGAGCUUGCUCCUCUGACGUUAGCGGCGGACGGGUGAGUAACACGUGGAUAACCUACCUAUAAGACUGGGAUAACUUCGGGAAACCGGAGCUAAUACCGGAUAAUAUAUUGAACCGCAUGGUUCAAUAGUGAAAGACGGUUUUGCUGUCACUUAUAGAUGGAUCCGCGCCGCAUUAGCUAGUUGGUAAGGUAACGGCUUACCAAGGCAACGAUGCGUAGCCGACCUGAGAGGGUGAUCGGCCACACUGGAACUGAGACACGGUCCAGACUCCUACGGGAGGCAGCAUUAGGGAAUCUUCCGCAAUGGGCGAAAGCCUGACGGAGCAACGCCGCGUGAGUGAUGAAGGUCUUCGGAUCGUAGAACUCUGUUAUUAGGGAAGAACAAAUGUGUAAGUAACUAUGCACGUCUUGACGGUACCUAAUCAGAAAGCCACGGCUAACUACGUG
rnacentral:rRNA from 1 species